UGGUCUUACUGAAUCCCAUUUGAUAUUUUCAGAUACUACGUUCUUUACCAUCUACCGAAGCUCAAGUUUCUGGACUCCAAUAAAGUUCGCGAAUCCGAAAGGACCGAAGCUAAACGGUGUGGAAAAUUCAUGAAUAUAAUAAGGCCGAAAGAAUCCAAUUCGAGAGAAACUCUGUUGAACAAUUCUUCAACUAAUACAUUCACACCUCUUCCGAAAGCGAUGCGGAAUCCCAACGACCACAAAGGUGCAUACGGAAAAUGUAGGUACCGUUAUAGUGGAAAACAUUCUGAAGGAAACAGAUUCAUUUCCAAUAGUGAUCUUUAAUUUUAGUACUUGUAUUAUUUUUUACUCAUUAUCACAUUUUAAUGAAAUAAAACGACAUUUUUAUA